rnacentral:rRNA from 1 species
UUUGGCGGCCAUGGCGGAGGGGUUAUACCUGAUCUCGUUUCGUCUCAGAAGUGAAGUCCUCCUGCGUUUUGGGUGUGUACUGUGGAUGGUUUUCUAUGGGAAGUUCAUAGCGCUGCCAACC